rnacentral:ncRNA from 1 species
AAAAAAGCGAUGACAGGGACAGCAGCAUUCGUAAACGCGUUCAGAGAGCUGCCGGUUGGUGAAAGGCAGCCGCGCACGAUUGUGAAAAUCACCCUUGAGCUGACUGCCGAAAGGCUGCGGGCCGAGUAGAACAGUACGUGCUUCCCGCGUUAAGGGGAACACUGUUGUAAGACAGUGGUUGAGAGGGCGGAUAUUCCGUCAAUAAGAGUGGUAACGCGGAGCUAAUUGGAACAGAAUCAUUACAGCUUCGUCUCUUAA